GACGAACGCUGGCGGCGUGCUUAACACAUGCAAGUCGAACGGUGAAGGGACCAGCUUGCUGGUUCUGGAUGAGUGGCGAACGGGUGAGUAACACGUGAGUAACCUGCCCCCUUCUUCUGGAUAACCGCAUGAAAGUGUGGCUAAUACGGGAUAUUCUGGGUCUGUCGCAUGGCGGGCCCGGGAAAGAUAUUGCUUCGGUGGGGGAUGGGCUCGUGGCCUAUCAGCUUGUUGGUGGGGUGAUGGCCUACCAAGGCGGUGACGGGUAGCCGGCCUGAGAGGGUGGACGGUCACACUGGGACCGAGACACAGCCCAGACUCCUACGGGAGGGAGCAGUGGGGAAUAUUGAACGAGGGGCGCAAGCCUGAUGCAGCGACGCCGCGUGAGAGAUGGAGGCCUUCGGGUUGUAAACCUCUUUCGCCAGUGAAGCAGGCCUGCUCCUUGUGGGUGGGUUGACGGUAGCUGGAUAAGAAGCGCCGGCUAACUACGUG
rnacentral:rRNA from 1 species